rnacentral:rRNA from 1 species
GAAGGCCUUCGGGUUGUAAAGCACUUUAGGUAAGGAAGAAAAGUUAUUGGUUAAUACCCAAUAACCAUGACAUUACUUACAGAAUAAGGACCGGCUAACUCCGUGCCAGCAGCCGCGGUAAUACGGAGGGUCCAAGCGUUAAUCGGAAUUACUGGGCGUAAAGCGCGCGUAGGCGGUUUGACAAGUUGGGUGUGAAAUCCCCGGGCUUAACCUGGGAACUGCAUUCAAAACUUUUAAACUGGAGUACGGGAGAGGAGAGUAGAAUUCAUGGUGUAGCGGUGAAAUGCGUAGAUAUCAUGAGGAAUACCAAUGGCGAAGGCAACUCUCUGGACCGUAACUGACGCUGAGGUGCGAAAGCGUGGGUAGCAAACAGGAUUAGAUACCCUGGUAGUCCACGCCGUAACGAUGACAACUAGCCGUUGGACUUUCGAGUUCAGUGGCACAGCUAACGCAU